rnacentral:rRNA from 1 species
UUAAGUUAGAAAGGGCGCACGGUGGAUGCCUUGACACUAGGAGUCGAUGAAGGACGGGACUAACGCCGAUAUGCUUCGGGGAGCUGUAAGUAAGCUUUGAUCCGAAGAUUUCCGAAUGGGGAAACCCACCAUACGUAAUGGUAUGGUAUCCUUAUCUGAAUACAUAGGGUAAGGAAGACAGACCCAGGGAACUGAAACAUCUAAGUACCUGGAGGAAGAGAAAGCAAAUGCGAUUUCCUGAGUAGCGGCGAGCGAAACGGAACAUAGCCCAAACCAAGAGGCUUGCCUCUUGGGGUUGUAGGACAUUCUAUACGGAGUUACAAAGGAACGAGGUAGACGAAGCGACCUGGAAAGGUCCGUCGUAGAGGGUAACAACCCCGUAGUCGAAACUUCGUUCUCUCUUGAAUGUAUCCUGAGUACGGCGGAACACGUGAAAUUCCGUCGGAAUCUGGGAGGACCAUCUCCCAAGGCUAAAUACUCCCUAGUGAUCGAUAGUGAACCAGUACCGUGAGGGAAAGGUGAAAAGCACCCCGGAAGGGGAGUGAAAGAGAUCCUGAAACCGUGUGCCUACAAAUAGUCAGAGCCCGUUAAUGGGUGAUGGCGUGCCUUUUGUAGAAUGAACCGGCGAGUUACGAUCCCGUGCGAGGUUAAGCUGAAGAGGCGGAGCCGCAGCGAAAGCGAGUCUGAAUAGGGCGUUUAGUACGUGGUCGUAGACCCGAAACCAGGUGAUCUACCCAUGUCCAGGGUGAAGUUCAGGUAACACUGAAUGGAGGCCCGAACCCACGCGCGUUGAAAAGUGCGGGGAUGAGGUGUGGGUAGCGGAGAAAUUCCAAUCGAACCUGGAGAUAGCUGGUUCUCCCCGAAAUAGCUUUAGGGCUAGCCUUAAGUGUAAGAGUCUUGGAGGUAGAGCACUGAUUGGACUAGGGGUCCUCAUCGGAUUACCGAAUUCAGUCAAACUCCGAAUGCCAAUGACUUAUCCUUAGGAGUCAGACUGCGAGUGAUAAGAUCCGUAGUCAAAAGGGAAACAGCCCAGACCGCCAGCUAAGGUCCCAAAGUGUGUAUUAAGUGGAAAAGGAUGUGGAGUUGCUUAGACAACUAGGAUGUUGGCUUAGAAGCAGCCACCAUUUAAAGAGUGCGUAAUAGCUCACUAGUCGAGUGACUCUGCGCCGAAAAUGUACCGGGGCUAAAUACACCACCGAAGCUGCGGAUUGAUACCAAUGGUAUCAGUGGUAGGGGAGCGUUCUAAGGACAGUGAAGUCAGACCGGAAGGACUGGUGGAGUGCUUAGAAGUGAGAAUGCCGGUAUGAGUAGCGAAAGACGGGUGAGAAUCCCGUCCACCGAAUGCCUAAGGUUUCCUGAGGAAGGCUCGUCCGCUCAGGGUUAGUCAGGACCUAAGCCGAGGCCGACAGGCGUAGGCGAUGGACAACAGGUUGAUAUUCCUGUACCACCUCUUUAUCGUUUGAGCAAUGGAGGGACGCAGAAGGAUAGAAGAAGCGUGCGAUUGGUUGUGCACGUCCAAGCAGUUAGGCUGAUAAGUAGGCAAAUCCGCUUAUCGUGAAGGCUGAGCUGUGAUGGGGAAGCUCCUUAUGGAGCGAAGUCUUUGAUUCCCCGCUGCCAAGAAAAGCUUCUAGCGAGAUAAAAGGUGCCUGUACCGCAAACCGACACAGGUAGGCGAGGAGAGAAUCCUAAGGUGUGCGAGAGAACUCUGGUUAAGGAACUCGGCAAAAUGACCCCGUAACUUCGGGAGAAGGGGUGCUUUCUUAACGGAAAGCCGCAGUGAAUAGGCCCAAGCGACUGUUUAGCAAAAACACAGCUCUCUGCGAAGCCGUAAGGCGAAGUAUAGGGGGUGACACCUGCCCGGUGCUGGAAGGUUAAGGAGAGGGGUUAGCGUAAGCGAAGCUCUGAACUGAAGCCCCAGUAAACGGCGGCCGUAACUAUAACGGUCCUAAGGUAGCGAAAUUCCUUGUCGGGUAAGUUCCGACCCGCACGAAAGGUGUAACGAUUUGGGCACUGUCUCAACCAGAGACUCGGUGAAAUUAUAGUACCUGUGAAGAUGCAGGUUACCCGCGACAGGACGGAAAGACCCCGUGGAGCUUUACUGUAGCCUGAUAUUGAAUUUUGGUACAGUUUGUACAGGAUAGGCGGGAGCCUUUGAAACCGGAGCGCUAGCUUCGGUGGAGGCGCUGGUGGGAUACCGCCCUGACUGUAUUGAAAUUCUAACCUACGGGUCUUAUCGACCCGGGAGACAGUGUCAGGUGGGCAGUUUGACUGGGGCGGUCGCCUCCUAAAGUGUAACGGAGGCGCCCAAAGGUUCCCUCAGAAUGGUUGGAAAUCAUUCGUAGAGUGCAAAGGCAUAAGGGAGCUUGACUGCGAGACCUACAAGUCGAGCAGGGACGAAAGUCGGGCUUAGUGAUCCGGUGGUUCCGCAUGGAAGGGCCAUCGCUCAACGGAUAAAAGCUACCCCGGGGAUAACAGGCUUAUCUCCCCCAAGAGUCCACAUCGACGGGGAGGUUUGGCACCUCGAUGUCGGCUCAUCGCAUCCUGGGGCUGUAGUCGGUCCCAAGGGUUGGGCUGUUCGCCCAUUAAAGCGGUACGCGAGCUGGGUUCAGAACGUCGUGAGACAGUUCGGUCCCUAUCCGUCGUGGGCGUAGGAAAUUUGAGAGGAGCUGUCCUUAGUACGAGAGGACCGGGAUGGACGCACCGCUGGUGUACCAGUUGUUCUGCCAAGGGCAUAGCUGGGUAGCUAUGUGCGGAAGGGAUAAGUGCUGAAAGCAUCUAAGCAUGAAGCCCCCCUCAAGAUGAGAUUUCCCAUAGCGUAAGCUAGUAAGAUCCCUGAAAGAUGAUCAGGUUGAUAGGUUCGAGGUGGAAGCAUGGUGACAUGUGGAGCUGACGAAUACUAAUAGAUCGAGGACUUAACCAU